CAAUACUUAGGAAUCACAUUUAUCUUUUUCUCAUUUUAUUAAAAUUUUUCUCCUAUAUCAAUUGUUAGACGUCCUUUUUGAAAAGCCACCUUCCCACUUAUAAAGGUUAUACUGAAUAACCGAUCCGUUUUAUUCUUAUAAGUCCUUUAGCAACAAAACAUUUCAUGAAUGCAAAAGUCACAUCACAAUCAGAGAAAGAAACGUUCCUUUCUACUUACUAGAAGUCCUUACUCACAAGGCUUUCAGAUACUGCUUUCUGCUUCAAAAUUUCAAUGGGAUCUUUCACAACUGCUCCGCAUUACUCAUGAGUCAUGAGGUGUAUUAAUUUUUAUGCUACUAUUUUCAUCUAUUUUCUAUUUUACUCUUCAUUGUUUCCUUUGUAAUAUUUUCUUCUUUCACAGCGAAAUUAUGAUGUUACCAUGUAUCAAUUGUGUUCCCUGGAAGUGCUACUUCGAUAUAAUUUUGGUACAUAUCAUCUUGAAAUCUUCCUCUUUUUUUUAAACUUCGCGCCCCUUUGUUCUACAAAGGAGAAACUUAGCAUCUGAUUUUUCUUUUAUGAUGCACUUCGGAAUCUCUUUAUAUAUUACCAUAUGUCGGAUCUUUCCUUUACAAAAAUCUUUCAAUUUAUUGAAAUGAGUAUGAGAAUAUAAAUGGUAGGAUGAACUUUGGAGCAUAGAACAUAUAUUUUGAGAUUUUGCAGUAGAUCAUGAGGAGAAAAGGGAGGGAUUUGUUUUCUGAUUAGAGAAGUAGGAAGACAGAUGGUAAGAAAACGGAGUAUUAUGAAAAGAAAUAUAAAGAAAAACAAAAUGAACAGAAAAGUAAAGAGUAAUUACUGAAGAACAACAAAGGGAGAAAGCAAAAACGAUAGAAAAGGAAGUAGAGGAGAUCUGAUUUCUUUUGAUUUUUAAAUCUUUUCCUUUUUAGUUCUCCUUUUCUUCUCUUAUAUUUUUAACAAAUAAAAGGAAUACUUGCACAACAAAACUUAACUAAAAGAUAAAUGGGUGACAUCUCAGCUUUGCAUCCUCUAAAUGGUACAUCGCCGUUUCUUUUCUUUGUUUUAUAUUAAUACUGAUUUCUUAUAUUUUCUUACUCACGUGUUGAAUUCUUUUCUUACAGAUUAUUUUGUCAAAUAUUUAUGUAUGAUGUCAAAAGAGUCAGCAGAUAUGGUAGAAUAAUGAAAAGGUGCUUAAUUCUUGAAAUCAAAUUUAUAAAACUUAUAAAAUUUGAUGCAUCUUUCUUGUGUGGAGUUCUACCUGGCUUAUUUAGGCAGAGUUCAAGAGGCAGAUCCAGUAUAUAAAAAUGCAGUUUCCAGAGGAGUAAAAUCAUGAAUAUGUUGCAGAAGAAAGGCCAAAUAAUGCUGUCUCGAACUUGGUUCUUUAUAUGGCUACGAGUAAAAAAUUUAUAUUUCCAAGUUGGCCUUAUUUCGGCGCGAAAGACUAUAAAUUCAUGUGAUAUAAUCUUGUCCAAUUCUCCAAUUCCAAAGCUCUAUUUCUGUCAAGAAUUAAGAUAGCUAAUGUUGUAAUUAGUUGUUCAUAACCUCUAUUCAAGCAGUUUAUGUACCCGCAAUCGUCUGACCCUGCUCCUAUCAUAUAAAUUCAUGUGAUAUAAUCUUGUCCAGUUCUCCAA